rnacentral:ncRNA from 1 species
CCUAACGAUCCCUAAAUAGCCUCUUGUGCGUGAGGAUUGGGGUGACAGACAAGUUACCUCCGGGACAACUGGCUUGUGGCUGCUAAGAGAUCAAAUCAACGCAGCUUUUUGAUUCUUCGAUGUCGGCUCUUCCUAUCCUAGUGAUGUACAAGUUGCUAAGGGUCGGAUUGUUCACCCGUAUUAGGGAUCGUGAGCUGGGUUUAGACCGUCGUGAGCCAGGUUUGUUUUAUCCUACUGGAUAUAGCAUCAUGAUAGUAGAUUGAUUUAGUACGAGAGGAACUGUUGAUUAUGGCCUCUGGUUAGCGAUUAUCGGAAACGGUAUGUCGCGCAGCUACGCCGUCUGGGAUAAUGGCUGAAAGCCUCUUAAGCCAGAAGCCCAUCUAGAAAGUGAUGCACGUGAUGUUGGACCGAUACGAAUAAUCAUACUCAAAAGGUCCGCUUCAUAGGUAACCCAAUGUAGAAGACAUUGUGUGAACGAAGGUACUGUAAGCAGUGGAGUGGCAUUACGUCCACGACCUGUUGAGGUUCAGCUUCGCUUCUAGGUUUCC